ACUGAACUUUGCUAAAACGUUUUUCAGCAUUUUGUUAAUCUUGACGUCCAUUUUGGAUUUGUUAAAAUCAUUCAGUGAGAUACCAACACAUCACACACCACCAUCCGCCUUCAUUGCACCUGCCAUAUACGCUAUCACAUUUGGAAUGUCAUCGUUUCUGAUCACGUACGAGUUUAAGAAAGGCGAGGUGUCCUCAGCCAUGUUGUUCAUCUUCUGGUCCAUACUUCUCCUACUAGGGGGUGUGUCACUAAGAUCUAAAAUAAUGCAGGUGCAAACUCAGGAUCUUGAGAGCAUGUUCCGCGUGGUGACAUUCUGCGUUCAUUACACCUGCAUCGUCCUUGAGUUCAUUUUACACCUGUUCGGGGAUCCCAAAGCGCUGCCAGAAAGCACAACUGACAGGGGA